CUUGAUAAAAAAUUACAAAAUUUUCACCCCUUGAAAAAAGCCCACAACAAAAUUUUCAUCCCUUGAAAAAACCCACAACAAAAUUUAAAAGCCCAGAACGUAACCCACAAACACAUAGAGCUCUUAUCACUCUCUCGUUGAAAGCAUGAAACUGAGAAAGCAUAGAAAUCUCACAGAGCUCAUGGAAAUCUCAUAGAGCUCGACGAUCAUAGAGAUCUCAUAGAGCUCGACGAUCAUCGAUUAGGUAUGUAAUCGCAUAGCUCCGAUUAGGCACGAGUUGAUAUCGGUUUUGUGACUCUUCAUCGUCGUGUUUCUCAGCUCCGAUUAGGUUGUAGCACAGAAAGCGAAGGAAGUUGAAAUCACUGUGCAGGACUCGCUUCUUCUGACGAGGAAUCUGCUCCGAAUUGCUAUAUUCAAUAUUAGUUACAUUAGAGGCCUGUAUAUCAGAGAAAUUUAUCAGCUCUUCCUCCUGAGCAGCUAGCUUGGUGUGGGUUAGACAGUGUGUUACUUUUAAUCUAAUACUUGUUUGGAGAUUCCAUGAAUCUAGAGCGCUCAUGUGCUUUGAUAAAGGGGCAAGAGAUCAAGAUGAGAUACAAUAUAGUAUUUUUAAUUUCUUAUCCUUGAUGGUAUCUUUACAAUUAUAACUAACUUAUGUUGUGUGAAUAAUAUUUUACAGUGUGAGUUCACAAAUAGAAACUUCAAUUCCUCGGAAACAUGGACUUGCUAUUGCUGGUUAUGAGUUGGCUUUCUUGAAGCAUGUUGAUUUUGAUGUUGUUCGCUGUGCUGUGAUUGCUAGUCCUGGUUUCACAAAGGUUUGGUGAUCAAUUUCAUCAUCACUUAUUGUUGGAGGUAGAAAGAAGACAGCUGAGACCUAUUAUCGAGAACAAGUCACGGAUAGUUCUUGUGCGUACAACAUCAGGAUACAAGUGGCUUUGCUGUUAAUUUGGGUUGCUAAUAUAAGGAAACAUGUGAAUAGUUUAGAAUUUGAGAAGGGACAUGUAUAUAAAGCUGUGCAUGUAACCGAUUUUUAUUUCCUUUCAUUACCUUUGGCCUUAUAUAGGAUGUAUUAGGAUUUGUUCUGUUCACAUACUACCAUGUCAGAUUGUGCAAAGAACCUUGUUUUUACAAUUUAAAACUCUUGCCCCUGUUGACUAUUGAAUUAGAUCAUAUAAAUAUUGAUCGGGUUAAUCUGA